rnacentral:rRNA from 1 species
GACGAACGCUGGCGGCGUGCUUAACACAUGCAAGUCGAACGAGGCCCCUCCUUCGGGAGGGUGUCCUAGUGGCGAACGGGUGAGUAACACGUGGGCAACCUGCCCCCGGCUCUGGGAUAACCCCAAGAAAUUGGGGCUAAUACCGGAUAUGACCGCUGACCGCAUGGUCGGUGGUGGAAAGUUUUUUCGGCUGGGGAUGGGCCCGCGGCCUAUCAGCUUGUUGGUGGGGUAGUGGCCUACCAAGGCGACGACGGGUAGCCGGCCUGAGAGGGGGACCGGCCACACUGGGACUGAGACACGGCCCAGACUGCUACGGGAGGCAGCAGUGGGGAAUAUUGCGCAUGGGCGGAAGCCUGGCGCAGCGACGCCGCGUGGGGGAUGACGGCCUUCGGGUUGUAAACCUCUUUCAGCAGGGACGAAGCGAAAGUGACGGUACCUGCAGAAGAAGCACCGGCCAACUACGUGCCAGCCGCCGCCGUAA